ensembl:lncRNA
CCGGUAAAGUACAAAUGUGCAUGUGAAAGUUGCGCGCGCGUGGAAACGGUUUAAUCUUUACACGGUACAAUACGAGAAUUUAAAAACAACAACAACAACAACUUUCACGGAUGUUUUCGAUCAAAAGUGUAACGUGCGUUUAAAAUUUCAUAGUGAAAUGUUUGCUUAUAAGUGGUUUGAAGUCUAAAAGACAGCGAGGAUAAGUUCAGUCUUCGGCUCUAACUGCCCAGGUUUAUAACAAAAAGCCCCGCCUCUGGUCUUCAUCACCUGCUCGCCGACAGCUUUGACCCCGCCCUCAAACACUACAGCUGUAGUUGUCCUGAAAGAGUUAGGUUCCUGUUGUCUCCAUGUCUAGAAGACGUUGUUUUCUGCUCUGCAAUAGCGGAGCUACUUUGCAUGGACUACCGAGGGAUGAGGAUGUAAAGCGUCGGUGGUUAGAGUUCAUUUUUAAUACCAUACCAAAUCAGUUCGCUCCGACCGUCGUUUGUGUUCCUGCCAUUUCACUGACGACUGCUUCUUCAAUCUAGCUGAAGUCAACGCGGGAUUUGCCAAACGAUUAUUUAUUAAAGGCGGGGCCGUACCCACUUUAUUUGGACCAUCUUUCGCCUCUGGGUCACAACCUGUAAGUAUUUAAUUAUUUACGUAUAUAUUUUCUACUGAGUGUUCUAAAUGCGUGGAUUUGUGUUGUAUACGUGUACAGCCAGCGCACAGCUGUUAGCCUGUUAGCUGUUAGCCUCUGCUAACAAAACAUUCUGACAGAUAUCCAACCAGACUCGACCAAAAGCUAACUUGGUGAGCUAUACUGUUAAUCAUCGCGUUUAUUUUCCUACGCUAACGUUAGCUACAUAACUGAGCUUAAGAAAAAGCCACAAUAAACAUUCAACCUAAACAGAAGUUUAACAUUUAACAUCGCAUAAUUAUGUAUUCAGAAUAAACAUAUAUAUAUAUAUAUAUAUAUAUAUAUAUAUAUAUAUAUAUAUAUAUUCAGAGAUAUAAAUAUAUAGAUAUAUAUAGAUCAGUAACCUUUAAUUUGUGA